GAUUAUUUAGUUUAUAAAAAAUAAAUAUUUUGAAAAUAUUAGAAAAGAGAUUUCCUCUUAAUGAUCG